AGCACUGAAUGGAUCUGGGUGGCGAAAGCUAUUCAAUUCAAUCAAACUCUGAAUACCAGUGUAAUGUUCACGGAAAGUCAGAACUGCGGGGCUAAGCUCGUGGUUCGAGAGGGAAACAACCCAGACUUUCGUCUAAGGUCUCUAAAUUCAUGCUAAGUUGUUAAGGAAGUCAUUGUUCUCAGACAGCUAGGAGGUUGGCUUAGAAGCAGCCAUCCUUUAAAGAAAGCGUAACAGCUCACUAGUCAAGUCGUCUCGCGCCGAAAAUUUACCGGGGCUAAGCAUAUUACCGAAGCUACGGACUCUGCAGCAAUGCAGAUUGGUAGAGGAGCGUUUUUAAGCCACAGAAGCUGUCAUGUGAGUGAUGGUGGAGGCUUAGGAAGUGAGAAUGUUGGCAUAAGUAGCACAAAGGCGGGUGACAACCCCGCCCACCGAAAAUCUAAGGGUUCCUGGGCAACGCAAAUCGUCCCAGGGUUAGUCGGUCCUAAGGCGAGGCCAUUGUAAUGGUGGCGUAGUCGAUGGAUGAGCUGGUUAAUAUUCCAGCACUACCACAAUUUUCCGAUGGAGUGACGGACUUUUGAAGUUUGAGGGUGUAUUGGUUUGCACCUUGACGGUUUAGAAAUCUGACUUAGGUAAAUCCGGGUCAAUAAGAUGGACAGACUGGCAGCAGAUAAGGCCUUCGGGCUGAGUCAAUUCAAGUAGAGAGAGUUCCCAGAAAAACUUCUAGGGCUAAGGUUGUGGUAUCCGUACCGUAAACCGACACAGGUAGAUGAGGCGAGAAGCCUAAGGUGAACGAGAGAACCAUCGUUAAGGAACUAGGCAAAAAAGCGGUCGUAAGUUAGCAAUAAGACCUGCCCAGAGCAAUCUGGGCCGCAGCGAAUGACUUUCAAGUGACUGUUUACCAAAAACACAGCUCGCUGCUAAAUCGAAAGAUGAUGUAUAGGGGGUGAUGCCUGGCCAGUGUCCGAACGUUAAGAGGAGAGGUCAUCCUAGUUUACUAGGGGCAGCUUUGAAUUUAAGCGCGGAUGAACGCCGGCCGUAACUAUAACGGUCCUAAGGUAGCGAAAUUCCUUGUCGGGUAAGUUCCGACCUGCACGAAUGGCAUAACAACUUGAAAACUGUCUCAACGAUGGACUCGGCGAAAUUACAGGGCCAGUGAAGAUGCUGGCUAACCAUAGCUGGACGAAAAGACCCCGUGAAGCUUUACUAUAGCUUGAUAUUGGGUUAGGGAUAUAUCUGUUCAGAAUAGGUGGGAGCUUCGGCACCAGUGAGAUACCACCCUGAUGUAUUCUUAAUUCUUACUUUGAUCCGUGAAUCCGGAUAGAGGACAGUAUCUGGUGGGUAGUUUGUCUGGGGCGGAUGCCUCCUAAAAGGUAACGGAGGCGUUUACAAAGGUUGGCUAUCUCGGGAUGGAAACCCGAGAGAUAGUGUAAAGGCAUAAGCCAGCUUUACUGCAAGACCUGCAAGUCGCGCAGUUGCGAAAGCAGAACUUAGUGAUCCGACCGUGCGGUAUAGUACGGCGGAAGCUCAUCGGAUAAAAGCUACUCCGGGGAUAACAGGCUAGUCACGCCCAAGCGUCCACAGCGACGGCGUGGUUCGGCACCUCGAUGUCGGCUCGUCGCAUCCUGGGGGUGGAGAAGCUCCCAAGGGUUGGGCUGUUCGCCCAUUAAAGCGGCACGCGAGCUGGGUUCAGACCGUCGUAAGACAGGUCGGUCUCCUCUCCACUAUGGUCGCGGAAAUUUGAGAAGGCUCUUCCCUAGUACGAGAGGACCGGGAAGAACGAAGCUCUAGUGUGCCAGUUGUCCUACCAAGGGCAUUGCUGGGUAGCUACCUUCGGUUAAGAUAAACGCUGAAAGCAUCUAAGCGUGAAGCUGUCUUCAAGAUUAGAUUUCAUAGGUUGGUCAGAGAAUAUGACCUUGAUAGGCUCUAGGUGUAAGUCCAGCAAUGGAUUCAGCCAAGGAGUACUAAUAAACCAUUAGAUUUUCCC
rnacentral:rRNA from 1 species